rnacentral:lncRNA from 1 species
UCCGGAUUAAAAAGGAUCCACUUGACUACGAUACACCGUCCAAAGAUUGGAAUUGGAUCAUCACACCCGUUGGGAGGCGUUGGUUCCAAAACAGCCCUAAAAUCGUUUUUUCAUCCGUCAAUUGUACAUUGGAUUUUCUUCCUCCUGUUCAUCUUCUUCGUCUAUCGUAAGAAAACGUUUACCAACAUCACCAUAAAAAAUCUAGAAUGCCUGAAAUCUUGUCGACAUAUAUUUCCAGCCAUUGAAUUGAUUUUCCUUCAUCUCUCCCUUGGUUCAUUGCUAAUCCUCUCUGUCAUUUUCCUUGGAUGCACCGCAACACCGUUCCUUAUUGUCGAUUUUUUUUUUUUGUUUUUUUGUUUUUUUUUGUUUUUGUAGUUAGGGUUUUUGAUUGGAAAUCCCAUCAUCAUCAUCAUCAUCCAGGUUUGUUCUUUGGACGACUUUAUUUUUUGUAUCUAUCAAUUAAAUUCUAUCAUUGGAAUUUGAAAUAAGAUCUGAUUAAAAUUUGUCUUUCAGAUAUGUUAUCGAUCACUCUCAUGUCGACUUACGGUUUCAAUGUUUAGGAAUUCAUCUGCUAUCUUUGACUUUUUGCUUCUUAGGUAUGGAAAUCGACCACCUACUCAGCCCUACCGAUUUGUUCAAAUCAUCUACUUUCUUUAUGCAUAUGUAUUGCUCUUAAUACCCUGUUAUCCCUUUUUCAUGCACUCCCUCUUGAUUUUUUAUAUUAACUCCUCAUUCGAACUACGAGAAGAUUGUUGAGUAUCUCUUUGACUUUGUUUUUGUAUUUUGUGUUUAUGAUUUCAUAAAUAUCUGUAUAUUUCUAGAAUAAUUAAAAUUUCUAAUUUUUUUCCAACAGUUUUUUUUUUCACGUUUAAUUCUUGCUUAUAUAGAAUGAUGGGUGUUUUCUGUAGAGACAUAGGUGAAGAAACUAUAGGCACGACUAGGAAUUUUGUAUUUUCUAUGCUCAAAUCCCAGGUAAUACUCAAGCCAUUUGAGUCAGGAACCGAAGUGGAGUAGUAAUCUAAUCAAGGUAUAUCAUGUAAGUAUAAAUUUAUUUAUGAUGUGAUUUGCUAUGAUUUUGUGAAGCCUGAUCAAAAUAUUUUUCUUUUAUUGUUAUUAACACCGUCAUCCACAACUAUGCCAACAGGUACAAGUCGCAGUGAACCGAUUUGUUGGGUAAGGCGAUGGAAGAUCAAGACGACAAGCAAGAAGUAAGAUAAUUUAUCUCUAUUUCUUUCACAUGCUUGUAAUAUUUGAUCGGUUGCAUACACUAAUGUGGCAAUAUAUCAGUCAUUUUUGUAGAUUAUUUAUGUGGGGUUUUCUUGGUAGAUUAUUUAUAUACUUUUUCAAGUUACUAAAUGUUAGGGUUGAAAUCACCGGUUCAAGGGAAAUAACUAAUUUUCAAGUUUUAAAAUUUCAAGAUCUUCAUGUGAACCCAGGUGUUCAAUAAAAUUACCAAUACUUAUGUUCAAUUGAUUACAGCAAGGUUAUAUUUUUUUUUUCAUAUUUGAUUGCACGUGGCCGAUAUUAUAGGUGUUAACUAUAAGUUAAAUCAGAGUUUCAUGUCUAUUGAUUUCCUCAAUCUACUUCCAAUGCCACACAUAACUCACUUAACAAGGUGAUUUUUUCUCUUUCAUCAUCGAAUAUACAUGUUAAACCCCAUCCAAGAAUCCAAUUUAAUGGUUAAAUCAUUCAACGUAAUAUUUUUUAGAAUUAAAUUUGAAUUUAGGUGGAAACCAACAAAUGAAUUAGAAAAAUAAGUGUGAAUUGUGUUAAUUGUUUGCAAAUUCUAUUCAAGACAUCAUUUCAGUGUUAAUCUUUAGGGGGUGUUUGGGAGUGUUUUUUAAGAUGACAUAUUAACUUAUUGGUUUUUUAUAAAGUCAAUAAGUUAAAAAAAUGUUUGGUAUAAAUAUUUAAUGUGGUGUUAUUAUUUUUAUCAGUGGUUUAUGUCAAUAAAUGCCAGAAUAGCAUUUAGAAGUGGAGUGAUAUCAAGUUUGAGCCCAACUGAUUGAUAGCAGUAAAACUAAUCAAACCAAACCAAACCAACCAUUGGAAGGCUUCAUCAUAGCUAUGUGUUCAACAGGUAAAAUUUGGGAAUUAUUCAUAUUCACCAUUAAACGUUUUUUUUAUUAUAAUUGUGGAUGACUGUAUGACUCCCAUGUUUGGAGAGAACAAUGCUAAUAUUAUGAUUCGAUGUUUUUCCCAGGUUUUCUCAUGGUGUGAAUCGUCUUCCUACUGUUUUGUGGUUAAUAAAAUGAAAGUAAACUGCCCUUUCCUACUACCAGAUGACAAAAAAUAAAAAAUAAAAGUAUGUUGCCUUUUCAUGCACACCAAAAAAUACAAAGUGCUAUUUUUUAACAUUCCCGAUUUAUAAAUUCAUUGAAUUGGCCAAUCAUCAAGUUUUUUGGAUAGACUGUUGGUGGUUGCUUUUGUAUAUGAGAUAGAUACAUUGACUUCAAUUUUUGGUGAUUUAAAUGCACCAAAAAUUUCAUUUAUUUGUAUAUACAUGUGAAGCAUCUUAUUGUUGGUGAUUAUUUGUGUAUAUGGAUUGAUUUUUAAAAUCCUUAUAAUUUAAAUGCGUCAAAACACAAUGACCAAAUGUAGGGUAAUGUACUUUCAUCUACUUGCUG